GGGGGGACAGGGUGACAGGUGGUGCAUGGUUGUCGUCAGCUCGUGUCGUGAGAUGUUGGGUUAAGUCCCGCAACGAGCGCAACCCUCGCCUCUAGUUGCCAGCAUUCAGGUGGGCACUCUAGAGGGACUGCCGGCGACAAGUCGGAGGAAGGUGGGGAUGACGUCAAAUCAUCAUGCCCCUUAUGACCUGGGCUACACACGUGCUACAAUGGGCGGUACAAAGGGCUGCGAACCCGCGAGGGGGAGCGAAUCCCUAAAAAGCCGCUCUCAGUUCGGAUUGCAGGCUGCAACUCGCCUGCAUGAAGCCGGAAUCGCUAGUAAUCGCGGAUCAGCAUGCCGCGGUGAAUACGUUCCCGGGCCUUGUACACACCGCCCGUCACACCACGAGAGCUUGCAACACCCGAAGUCGGUGAGGCAACCCGCAAGGGAGCCAGCCGCCGAAG
rnacentral:rRNA from 1 species